rnacentral:rRNA from 1 species
UGGAGGGCAAGUCUGGUGCCAGCAGCCGCGGUAAUUCCAGCUCCAAUAGCGUAUAUUAAAGUUGUUGCAGUUAAAAAGCUCGUAGUUGAAUUUCGGGGUUAGUAGGUUGGUCAUGCCUCUGGUAUGUACUGGUCUCACUGAUUCCUCCUUCCUGAUGAGCCGUAAUGCCAUUAAUUUGGUGUUGCGGGGAAUUUGGACUGUUACUUUGAAAAAAUUAGAGUGUUUAAAGCAAGCUAACGCUUGAAUACAUUAGCAUGGAAUAAUGAAAUAGGACGUUCGAUCCUAUUUUGUUGGUUUCUAGGAUUGACGUAAUGAUUAAUAGGGAUAGUUGGGGGCAUUAGUAUUCAAUUGUCAGAGGUGAAAUUCUUGGAUUUAUUGAAGACUAACUACUGCGAAAGCAUUUGCCAAGGAUGUUUUCAUUAAUCAAGAACGAAAGUUAGGGGAUCGAAGACGAUCAGAUACCGUCGUAGUCUUAACCAUAAACUAUGCCGACUAGGGAUCGGAUGAUGUUAAUUUUUUAAUGACUCAUUCGGCGCCUUACGGGAAAC